rnacentral:rRNA from 1 species
GAUGAACGCUGGCGGCGUGCCUAAUACAUGCAAGUCGAGCGAAUGGAUUAAGAGCUUGCUCUUAUGAAGUUAGCGGCGGACGGGUGAGUAACACGUGGGUAACCUGCCCAUAAGACUGGGAUAACUCCGGGAAACCGGGGCUAAUACCGGAUAACAUUUUGAACCGCAUGGUUCGAAAUUGAAAGGCGGCUUCGGCUGUCACUUAUGGAUGGACCCGCGUCGCAUUAGCUAGUUGGUGAGGUAACGGCUCACCAAGGCAACGAUGCGUAGCCGAGCUGAGAGGGUGAUCGGCCACACUGGGACUGAGUCACGGCCCAGACUCCUACGGGAGGCAGCAGUAGGGAAUCUUCCGCAAUGGACGAAAGUCUGACGGGGCAACGCCGCGUGAGUGAUGAAGGCUUUCGGGUCGUAAAACUCUGUUGUUAGGGAAGAACAAGUGCUAGUUGAAUAAGCUGGCACCUUGACGGUACCUAACCAGAAAGCCACGGCUAACUACGUGCAAGCAGCCGCCGUAA